rnacentral:rRNA from 1 species
CAGCAGCCGCGGUAAGACGAACCGUGCGAACGUUAUUCGGAAUCACUGGGCUUAAAGCGCGUGUAGGCGGAUGGGAGCGUCGGCCGCUGAAAGCCCCCGGCUUAACCGGGGAAGUGGCGCCGAUACGACCGCCCUGGAGGGACGUAGGGGGGGCUGGAACUUCCGGUGGAGCGGUGAAAUGCGUUGAGAUCGGAAGGAACGCCCGUGGCGAAAGCGAGCCCCUGGACGUUUUCUGACACUGAGACGCGAAAGCCAGGGGAGCGAACGGGAUUAGAUACCCCGGUAGUCCCUGUCUCUUAUA